GUCUGUCCUGGAAGUGAGACAUUGGUCAGUCAUCAGAACAUAGUCAUGAGGGGUUUCAUCAGAAGGUCCCUGGAAUAGAGUGGCAGGAUUAAGGUGAAGGCAAACAACUAUUGGCUGUGUGGAUCUACAGGAAUUCUUGAGAAGGCACUAGAUGCACAACUGAGAAAUACUGACUGGGAGUGGGUACAGCUGAUAGAAGGAAUCAUCAAUAUAUACAUGAAGAAAGUGAUGCUAUUAUAAUGUCAUGUGAAAAUUCUACUGGCAAAAGAGCAGAUGGCAUGCCAAUGGAAGUGGUCUACUGUAGCUGCACUGAAUCAUUCUUCACACCACUGAAAGUGAAAGCAAAUGGGGAGCAUGAGGCCCAGAAUACACCCCUAGUACUUCACAGAACUUUUGCCAAUUCCACUAAGCCGACAGUACUUUAAACAAUUAUAGAUUACUUUCUCUCUGCUCUACUCAGUGGGCAAUGACCACAAUGCAAACAGCACCUCCUGGAAUGAGUAAUACAUAACUUACAUGGCCAUCAGAGCACUGGACUGAAAACACUGGACUCUGCUGCGAAACAAGGUUCCCAAAUCAAGUCAUUUGCAACAACUGUCUAUGCUGAGCUGCUUUAGCAAGCACUCUGGUGGGCUUAAGGCUAAGCUUAUGUCAUACGGUGUAGGAGAAAAGCUGGAGCUCUUUGGGUGGGAAAGCGGUAUGAAUCUACGGAUCCCAGCUCUGGCUACAUAAUAAAGAAACGGAAAUGCAGAUUUCUUUACAGGGUG